rnacentral:rRNA from 1 species
CGAACGGGUGAGUAACACGUGAGCAACCUGCCCCUGACUCUGGGAUAACAGCCGGAAACGGCUGCUAAUACCGGAUAUGCACCAUGAACGCAUGUUCUGUGGUGGGAAAGAUUUUUCGGUUGGGGAUGGGCUCGCGGCCUAUCAGCUUGUUGGUGAGGUAAUGGCUCACCAAGGCGUCGACGGGUAGCCGGCCUGAGAGGGUGACCGGCCACACUGGGACUGAGACACGGCCCAAACUCCUACGGGAGGCAGCAGCC